rnacentral:rRNA from 1 species
CGUUCCCGGGUCUUAUACACACCGCCCGUCACACCACGAAAGUCGGCAACACCCGAAGCCGGUGGCCUAACCCGCAAGGGAGGGAGCCGUCGAAGGUGGGGCUGGCGAUUGGGGUG